rnacentral:rRNA from 1 species
AGGAUAGCCUAGGGAAACCUGGAUUUAACCCUUCAUAGUAUUAUUGGAUGGCAUCAUUUGAUAGUUAAAACUGAGGUGGUAUAGGAUGGGCAUGCGUCUGAUUAGUUAGUUGGCGGGGUAAUGGCCCACCAAGACGAUGAUCAGUAGGGGUUCUGAGAGGAAGAUCCCCCACACUGGCACUGAGAUACGGGCCAGACUCCUACGGGAGGCAGCAGUAGGGAAUAUUGGUCAAUGGAUGCAAGUCUGAACCAGCCAUGCCGCGUGCAGGAAGAAGGCCUUCUGGGUUGUAAACUGCUUUUGCCAGGGGAUAAAAUUUCCAUGCGUGGAAAACUGAAGGUACCUGGUGAAUAAGCCACGGCUAACUACGUG